CUUCGAGGCAGAAAUGCGUAGACGAUGGGAACCACGUUAAUAUUCGUGGGCCUGGUGGUAGUGACGGAUCGCGCGGGUUCGUAUCCCCUUAUUGGAUUGGGGGUGCGAUGAGCCGGUUCCAGGAAAUAGCUCCACCGACAUAGACCGUACCCUAAACCGACACAGGUGGACUGGUAGAGCAUACCAAGGCGCUUGAGAGAACGAUGCUGAAGGAACUCGGCAAAUUGCAUGCGUAACUUCGGGAUAAGCAUGACUUCUAUUCGGGCAACCGGAUAGGAGUGGCACAAAAGAGGGGGUGGCGACUGUUUACUAAAAACACAGGGCUCUGCGAAGUUGCAAAACGACGUAUAGGGUCUGACGCCUGCCCGGUGCCGGAAGGUUAAAUGGAGGGGUGCAAGCUCUGAAAUGAAGCCCCGGUAAACGGCGGCCGUAACAAUAACGGUCCUAAGGUAGCGAAAUUCCUUGUCGGGUAAGUUCCGACCUGCACGAAUGGCGUAACGACUUCCCCACUGUCUCCAGCAUCGACUCAGCGAAAUUGAAUUUCCCGUGAAGAUGCGGGGUUCCUGCGGUCAGACGGAAAGACCCCGUGCACCUUUACUAUAGCUUUACGCUGGCAUUCGUGUCGGCAUGUGCAGAAUAGGUGGUAGGCUUUGAAGCGGGGACGCUAGUCCUCGUGGAGCCGCAAUAUGAGAUACCACCCUUAUCGUCAUGGAUGUCUAACCGCGGCGCUACAACGCCCGGGACAGCGUAUGGUGGGUAGUUUGACUGGGGCGGUCGCCUCCCAAAGAGUAACGGAGGCGCGCGAUGGUGGGCUCAGACCGGUCGGAAAUCGGUCGCUGAGUGCAAUGGCAUAAGCCUGCCUGACUGCGAGACUGACAAGUCGAGCAGAGACGAAAGUCGGUCAUAGUGAUCCGGUGGUCCCGCGUGGAAGGGCCAUCGCUCAACGAAUAAAAGGUACGCCGGGGAUAACAGGCUGAUACUGCCCAAGAGUCCAUAUCGACGGCAGUGUUUGGCACCUCGAUGUCGGCUCAUCACAUCCUGGGGCUGGAGCAUGUCCCAAGGGUAUGGCUGUUCGCCAUUUAAAGUGGUACGUGAGCUGGGUUUAGAACGUCGUGAGACAGUUCGGUCCCUAUCUGCCGUGGGUGUUGGAAUAUUGAGAAGAGCUGACCCUAGUACGAGAGGACCGGGUUGGACGAAUCUCUGGUGGACCUGUUGUGGCGCCAGCCGCAUUGCAGGGUAGCUAAAUUCGGACGGGAUAACCGCUGAAAGCAUCUAAGCGGGAAGCCUCCUUCAAAACUAGUAUUCCCUUGAGAGCCGUGGAAGACCACCACGUUGAUAGGCCGGAUGUGGAAGCGGAGCAAUUCGUGAAGCUGACCGGUACUAAUAGCUU
rnacentral:rRNA from 1 species